AUCAUCUGCAGCAAGAUGGGAAGAGGUGCAGUGUAUAUGAUGUAGAACUGAUUUCAUGAUUGCCUGGUGUUGUAAGCAAAAGACAGCUUUGAGUUCACAGGUGUUUUUUCAUAUGUGAAAGAAAACCCAAUGCUUCUGAAGACCAUUCUGAGUAAACUAUUUGGUAGGAUAUGGAAUGAUGUAGGAAUAAUCUAGAAAAGCAGUAACUUGAGCUUCUAACUGCCCUUGAAGCUACAGAGGGAAGUAACUGGGUUGGAAGAAUCUACUGGCAGGGUCUUCCUGACUUUGUGUGACCUUGAGAAAGUCUCCUAAGAUAUCUCCUCUCAGCUUCCUUAAUUUUUAAUUGAGAGACUGAUACACCCCUGCCUUACAUUAUGUGCACUGGCACAGCCAUCUUCAUUGUGUUCAGUGUGUCCACCUGGGACAGUGUGAGCAGCGAGCAGUGG